rnacentral:misc_RNA from 1 species
UUAUGUAUUUCAUAUAUUGUACAACAAGCUAACUAUUUUGUACUCAAGUAAUUUUUCCUGUACUUAGAGUUCAUGCAAUAGCACAAAUGAAGAGAAAAAUGUUAGCUGCUGUCUCUCCCUAUCUGACUCACACCUCUAGUCCAUCAAUAUUUUCACAUUCUUGCUGCAGCAGUUACAAAGAACAGUACAGAGAUGUAGCAGUCUUGUCACAUACACUAACUUCAACAAAAGAGCAAAUCUCCAAUUUAAAGAUUAUACUGAACUCUAGUACAAACCAAAAAUGAUAAGAAAUAUUCUUUCACUAUAUUUGCUAGACAUGCUACUGUUCUCUGUUGUGUCUUUAGACAUUACCUACCAUAUCAAUGAAGAAAACAGCCCUCAUGCCUACAUAGGAGAUAUUGCUGCUGAUUCUAAUAUGUCACAUUUUUUUAAACAUCAACAACACAAUCUUGUUACGUUUACACAAUUACAAAGGAAGGUGUCAAGUGGCUCUCAUCUAUUUAAUGUCACCAACUUAGGGAAACUUUACACAACUCAGACACUGGAUGCUGAAUCUUUGUGUACAAUCAACAAAGAAUGUUUCAAAAUUGUUAGGAUAGCAGUUCGGAAAAGAAAAACCUAUGUAAAGAUUUUAAAAGUCAAAGUAAUCAUAAAAGACAUCAAUGAUCAUGGACCUGAGUUUCCAGAAAGUGAAAUAAAUUUGCAAUUUGAUGAAAAUGAUCGGGAAGGAACUAAAAAGCCAAUUCCAAAUGCUAUUGAUAGAGAUAUUACCAUUCAGAAUUCUAGGAUAACUUAUGAACUGAAGGAAAAUAUAGAUGACCCAUUUUCAUUGUCUCUUUCAAAAGACUAUGAUGGGACUUUCAUACCUGAGAUAGUUCUACAAGGUAAGCUGGAUAGAGAAAGAAAGAAACAUUAUAUGUUAAAGCUGAUUGCUAAAGAUAAUGGUAUACCACCAAAUGAAAAUAUUUUACAUUUUCAGAUAUCUGUAACUGACUCUAAUGAUAAUAAACCAUUAUUUUCUCAAAAAGUAUAUAACAUUUCAAUAAAGAAUAAACACCCCAAAUCAAAACCAAUUUUAGUUUUAGAAGCCACAGAUUUAGAUUCAGGGACAAAUGGAAAGAUUGCCUUUAAUUAUAGUCCCAAAACACCAAUUGAAAUAAGAAAAUAUUUUGAUUUGAAAAAGGCAUCUGGAGAAUUGUUUGUAAAUGAGUACUUUAAAAUAGAUACCAAAAACUCUUACAAGCUGUUUGUUGAGGCUAAAGAUGGAGGGAAACCUCCCUUAAGUUCAACAACAGUGAUUUUGAUUUCUAAAGAAAGCAAUCAUAAUAUUGCUCCAAAAAUUGAUAUAGACUUUGUGUUUCCUUUGUCAGAAAGUUCGACUGCUCUUUUAGAAGACAUUAAAGUUAGUAGUUUUAUAGCUUAUGUCAUAAUUACUGACAAUGAUAUUGAAGAAAAUGGACAGAUUGAUUGUAAUUUGGAACAUGAAACCUUUGGAAUAGUUGAAAUGGGUUCACAUGAAUAUAAAAUGACCACAAAAUGUCCUCUUGACAGAGAAACAAAAGAUCGCUAUGAUAUUGUACUUGUUUGCCAGGAUAUGGGAUUUCCACCACUCAAAUCAGAAAAACAAUUUUCUAUUGAAGUACUUGAUGUCAAUGAUGUAGAGCCACAUUUUACCAAAGAGACAUUCCAAUUCCUCACCUAUGAAAACCAGAAAGUUGACUUCCCUAUUGGCUUCAUCAAUGCUACAGACCCUGAUCUUGGAGAUGGAGGCCAACUUACAUAUUCUAUCAUCAAUGAUAACAACAAUGAUAACAUUCCUUUCCAACUGACAAAAUAUGGAUUUUUUUCUACAUCACAAUCAAUAGAUCGAGAAAUGAAAGACAUCUAUAAGUUCAAGGUUUUAGUGAAAGAUAAGGGAACACCUUCACUCAAUGACACUGCCAAUAUUGUUAUCGAGAUUCUAGAUAAAAAUGAUAAUGCUCCAUAUUUUACGUUUCCUAAUAAUGACCCUUACAAUCUAGAUGUCCACUACCAUCCAAACAGUAAAAAGGACAUCACAAUUCUGAAAGCAUCUGACAAAGACACUGGAAACAAUGCUUUCCUCACAUAUGGAAUAUUAAAAUCUAAUGAUAAAAACAUGCUAACGGUAAAUUCUUACACUGGGGUAUUAUCAUUCUCUCGUAUAAUUAAUAUAAAUGAUGCUGGAACGUAUGAGCUACAGUUCAUGGUGAAAGACAGUGGUACUCCAGUUCAAUCAGCAACAACUGUUAUCAUGCUAACACUGCAUGUUAGUAAUGAUACACUUCCAAUGCAAGCUGCAACCCAUCUCUUAUCUGGCACUGACUUAAACAUAAUUUGGGUAAUAAUCAUUGUGGCAGCAGGAGUAAUACUAUCUGUGGGUAUUGUAGUUUGCUUAACAAUGUGUGUUUUCAGAUGUAUUAAUCACAUUAAAAGUUCACCUUCAACUUCAGAUAAUCAUAAAAUCCUGACAGGCUCUAAGAUGAGGCCAAUGCCAUAUGAAACUAACAACCCUAUUGCAUUUACAAGAAAUACAGAAGACACAUAUAACAGAAAUUGUCAGACAAUGAGCUCAAAAAGUCAUUAUUACCCUGAGAUGGAAAAGACUAUCAAUGAAGGCAAAUUUUCAGCAACAGCUAGAAAACUUCCACCAAUUCCACAGUCUAUUGAUCAGCCAAGUAAGGAGUCUUCUGAUGAGCAUGGAGAAACUAUAUCUACUAAGAGUAUCAAUUAUAUGAGUAAUACAUUGCCAUGCCAAUGGCCAUCUGAAAGUACCUGGGAUGAAAGAUAUACAAGAAAUUUCAGUGAUAUUUCUAUUACAUCAGAGUUUGAUGAUUCUAAACCAGAAGUUCCUCCAAAACCAAAUCGUCUACAAAACCAAGAUACAUAUUUAGAGCCAACAUAUCUAACAAAAUAACUUUAUUUGAAUUCUUUGAUGUCAUGAAGAUAUAUCAAUAAAUUAUGAAAUUCCAUACAGAGGAUAGUAUAGCUGAUAUUUUUAAAUGAUACGACAUUUGAUACAUAGGAAUACUCUAUUAGAUUUAUAUAUAUAUUAUCAAAAUUCUGUUAAAAAAACAAUCCUCAUCUUAAGAUGUAACCAAGCACUACAAAAGUUUUAGUUCUUUAUACACUGUAUAAUUGAAGCACCAAGGUAAAAUUAAAAGAAUACAAGUUAUCAAAUGAGACAUUUAUAGCAUCUUCUGCUCUAAAUGUUUUAUAUUCUAUAAAUGGGAAAUCCUUAAAGCCUUUCCAUUUAUAUUUUCAUAUAUUACAUAAUUGAAUGCUUUAGAAAUUAAGAAUAUAGCUCCAAAACAAAUUCAAUUAUUUCCUCUUCUGGGAGAUCAAAACGUUGCAAUUAACAUUCCUAUUUUCCUGCCCUAGUCAAAACUUUUCUCUAAUCUCAGCUAAGUUUCCAGUGUCCAGUAUCACCUUUCUCUUUUCCAUUUGGUUUCUAGUUACAGCAGUGUAUAAUUCACAAAUAAAUUUAAUUCACUGACUGAAAUAUACACUCUCUGAAUGUCCAAGAAUAGGAUGGAAAAUAGAAAUUUGAAUGUCCAAGUACGAUAUAUCACAUUACUUAAUGAAAUAAGCAUUUUGUUUUAUCAAAAGUGAAACAUCUUCAAUAUAUUCCACCCUCUAUAGACAAGGUAAAAAGUACAUCAAGAUAGUUCAAAUAUUUUCAGAACAUUUCUUUCGUUAUAUGACACCGAUUAUCAUUGCUUUUUAAUAAAUUUAAAUAUAAAUAUUCUCGUGAUUGACGAAUGUAUUUUGAUAUAAUAAGAACUAAUUUGAGAUUUUAGUUUUACAUAGAGUUCAAGUUAAAAACUUUCAAUACAUAGUUAUAGGAAAUUCUAUACCACAAAUCGAAAAAGCAAGUUAUAUGGAGUAGAAAAGGCAUUAUUUACAGUCAGCUUCUUUCUACAAUAAUUGAGUAACGAUGAGGAGAAUUCAUAUAGGAAUAAAAACAAUAUAGCGUUUUAAAUCACAUCAGUUCCAAAGGAAAUAACCCAGACGACACCCUCAUAGUUGGUUCAUGGAAUACACAGAAGCUGGAGCAGUCUGUUAGGUAGUUACGCCUGCUAUUGUGUCAAUAGUUACAGUGGACUACCUGUUAAGAGGCUCCUGUUACAAAGAACAUUAGCAACACCCAUAAAUUAAUCAAACAAGAACUCAGAAACUAUGAACUAAGUUGAAAAGUUAUGCAAACUUUUGCUUACAAAUCAACUGAUUUACCAAACAGAGGAAUAAAAUCUGAGAUAUCAUCUUAACCCUAGCAAUAUUUAGAAAUAAAUUCUCAUACAUUAUUUCAGAAUAACUUGCUCAGUCUUAUAAACUAGACAUAUAAGAAUGUUAUUGUCAACAGUUUCCUUUUUUAUUAAACUCCUCUC